CCUCAGGUUCGUUUCCUGCAGCUUUCGGGCCCUCUCCUCCAGGCGCUUGGCAAUGACCGCCAGCUCUGCGUUCUUCCUCUUCAGCCUCCGCACCUUCUCUUCCGUCUCAGGGAAGCUGCUCUUCCUCUGACAAGGGGUCAGGCAGAAUUGGGGCAUGUAGGGAGCACCCCACAGACCCAGUCCUAAUGACCCAGGUCUUGGGUUAGAGCCCUAGGCUCACAGUGGGGUCCUUGGCAACUUUAGGCAGGGGUUCACCCUCUCUAGGUCUCAGCAUUUUGUCACCUCCAUGGAGCCCCCACUUGGAGAGAUGUUCAUGGGGUGAGGAGGACACUGAGGCAGAGGGCCUGGCUCCAACCAGAAUGCAGCACCCCAGUCUCCAAGCCUCACCAGCAUCUGGUUUUCCUCCUUAAGGAUGGCACAGCGCUGCCGCAGCUCCCCCAGGGCCCUCAGCAGCUCCAGAUUGGGCCUGUCCCCAAAGCCCAUAUUCAGCUUGGCCUGGCAUGGGAAAGGACCAAGGACAGCACCUCAGAAACCCAUGUCACCCAGCCAGAACCUUCCAUGUGGAAGCAUCCCCCAUCCAUGGUCCAAGGAGACGUGGAGAUGAAACGGUUUUGCCCCACAUCCCAGGUCUUCAGAGAGGAGCAGAGGAGGCCUAGGAGAAGGAACUGUCCAGUCCUUCCUGUCCACAUAGGCGCCCCCAACCCUGGCACCCUCCUGCUCCUCCCUUUUUCGUCCCACUCCUGCCCAUCUUCUCCUCCAGGGACGUGCCAGCUAGAGCUCCCACUCCCAUCCCUCCAGACUCCCCUGCCCACCCCCAAAGUCCUGUUCCUUCCCUCUUCUACAGGAGCCUGCUCACACCCACCCCAACCCUGGCUCAGCCCAGCACCAAGCCCCCUCCCUUCAUUCUACUUCCUCUGCACUGAUUCUCCGUGCACCUCCACACUCUCCCUGUACCCCCCAGCCCCCAAGGACAGACAAACUCAUGGAGGAAGAGACACAGACAGACAGACACACUGUCAGGGGGAGGCACAGAGAGGGACGGGGCAGCAGCAGGGCCAGAUCUAGACAGACAGGCAAAGAGGGUCAGAAGGACAGGCAAAUGACGAAAGAAAUGGAGCCCCUGAGAUUCCUGCUUGAUGAAGAGAGGACAGAUAGCCACAGAGACAGACCCACAGACAGGCCAAGAGAGGAGAGGUGGGCAGUAGGGAUCCACACCUCGCCUCACCUCCUGGCCAGGCUGGAGGACACGGUGAGAGACCCCACCUUGCAGACCCCAGCCAUCCACAGAUCCCUUACCUUCGGGAAAGCCUCUACUUCCUCAUCCUCUGGCCUCUGGCAGGCAGGUCCAGAGCUCGAUGCUUGCUGGCCCAGGCUGGGCAGACAAGCCUCUGCUUCUUCAGGGUCAGUGCCCCCAAUGGGCCCAGAGCUCCUGGCUCCUUUGGGCUCGGAACUCUCCUCAGACCUCAGUUCUGGAAGCUGCAGAGCUGCUGGAGGAGUAUCAGCGACACUUGGGACUGCAUCGCCAGGUUCACCCCCUCGACCUGGAGUCCAGCUCUGCCAGGGUUGGCUGAGCUCUUCCCCACCUACAAAGGAGGCUGCAGAAGGCGCCAGGGCUGCUGGAGCUGGAGCCAGGGGUAUGUGAGCUAUGUUUGCUGGUGGCUCUGUGUGUGUGCGCGAGUGUGUGGAGGAGCGAGGGUGUCCCCGUGGGGGUGGGGAGGAUGUGCAGAGGCCACUGACAGCUGCGCCUGGGUGAGGGUGCGUGUGUGUGUCUCCAGGUCUGUCCGUGCAGGUCAAUGUUGUCUCGUGUGUUGGGAAGAUGGGUGCCCCCACUUCUGUGUGUUGAGGGGGGUGGUGCUGUGUGUCACUGUCUGCCCAUUUCAGAGUUGCCAGUUGUUUCUGUGUGUGUGUGGGUGUCUGUAUUGCAGGGCUGUGGCAGUAUGUGAUGCUGUCACUGGUUGUAUCUGAGUGUGUCAGUGUCGUGCAGCUGUGUGCAUCGUUGUCGUUGUGUGUCUGUCAGUGUCUGUGGGUCUGGCCUUCCGUCGCAACCCCUCAGCCUGGCCAGGGUCUUCAGGAGCUGCUGGGGGUGAUCCCCAGUGGUCCUCUGUGGUCCUUUAUCUCCGGCUCUGCUCUCCGCUGCUGCUCUCUCGCUUGCUGGGUGACUGGGCUGGUCCUAAGGAGGUCUGGGUCGAUGGGCUGCUUGCCUCAUAGUCUCAGCCCCUGCUGGCCUCAGCUCUGGGGACUGCAGGGGUCCCUUACAGUCCGGGAGCCUCGAGAUGGUGGGCUCCGAGGAGGGCUGAGCCUCAGAACUGGGGGGGGUGAGCCGGGGAGAACCAGCCUUCCCCUCCUCCUCCUCCUCCCCUCCCACCCACCAAUAGGAAGUCGGCUGCUGGUUUCCAUGGUGAUGGCGCUGGACUGGUGGGUUGAACCGGCUGACAGGGUCGGGGGACAGAAGGAAGAGCAGGUUUCUCACGGGAUGUCAGCCCAGGGCUCCCACAUGUGGCCUCCCACCCUCAUCUUCACACAUUUUCACACCUUCCGGAGUACAGAGGCGAGCGGGGUGCAGAUGGUCCUCCCCACAUCGGGUGAGACAGAACGGGGGAGGGUAUGACAGAGAUCCAGCCACAGAGAAGGGCAGAACUAGAAAAGAUGGGACUUGAGAUGAAACAAAGAGAGAGAGAGAAACCAAGAGAAAGAAACCAGGACGACAAGCAAAGAGACAGGUAGAAAUAGACGGAGAGAAUUGCUUCCGCUUCCUCCUGGCAGAUUGCACUUGGUGGGCAACCUGACUGUCCCAGGCCACCAGGGAAUCCCACAUGGCCUGUUGGGUUGGCUUUGCCCUGAAUUGCCUGGAAGUUCACCUUCUGUGUAGCCUUAGACCUUGUUGCUUUGAAAAAAUAAUUUGGGGGACAAGGACGUGAGAAUCCCCCCAGCCAGGAGUCAGCCUAUAUCCAGGGGCAGGGGUCUAGACAGAGUCCCCAGAGACAGGGGUGUUGGGAGAAGCCCAGAGAGGCAGCCCCUCUCCCCUCUGAACCCGGGACUCAUUAGACAAGCCAGUUUCAGCCAUGGUCGGAGGCCCUCGUGUGGCACCCCCACAGAAUAGCAGCAGUGAUACUGAACCCUGACUGACUGUGGGCUCCACCCAGGCAAGAGCCAAUGGAGCUGGAGGUAGCGGGUGCAUGGGGAGGAGUGGACAUAUUCACUUCCCUAAAGCAGUGUGUGGGUCGACACGCACGCCACUGCAUGAUGUGUUGCUGAUGUUUAGGUCAGAGUAUAUAUGCAUGCCGUUAUGCACAUGCAUGUGUAUAGUAUGCAUAUAGAGAAUAGACAUAUCUCUAUUUCUGCAUAUGUGAAGGGGCCAUUGUGUGUAUAUGUGUGUGCUAUUAUGUGUCUAUGGGUCACAUAAUAAAACAAGAAAAACACAUUGGGUGUAUUUGUAUGUUUCUGUGUCAUUGCGUCUAUGUCUGUUUGCUACUGUGUCUAUGUUAUGUGCAUGGGAGGCAAUCAUUGCGUGAGUUUAUAAAUUGCAACACAUCAUGAUAUAUAUAGAUAUGGAUGCUACUAUAUGGCACAAUAUAGUAAUUGAUUACACAAUAUAUGAUAUGCUCAUAUAGUCAUGUAAA